GAUGAAGAACGUAGCGAACUGCGAUAAGUAAUGUGAAUUGCAGAAUUCAGUGAAUCAUCGAGUCUUUGAACGCACAUUGCGCCCCCUGGCAUUCCGGGGGGCAUGCCUGUCCGAGCGUCAUUGCUGCCCUUCAAGCCCGGCUUGUGUGUUGGGUCGUCGUCCCCCCCGGGGGACGGGCCCGAAAGGCAGCGGCGGCACCGCGUCCGGUCCUCGAGCGUAUGGGGCUUUGUCACCCGCUCGAUUAGGGCCGGCCGGGCGCCAGCCGGCGUCUCCAACCUUCUAUUUUACCAGGUUGACCUCGGAUCAGGUAGGGAUACCCACUGAACUUAAGCAUAUCAAUAAGCGGAGGA
rnacentral:misc_RNA from 1 species